rnacentral:siRNA from 1 species
UCAAAUUUCUGCCCUAUCAACUU